CUACCCCGUGCCUCGCUCGGCCCACUCCUUCCAUGAGCGGGUCUUGAGCUGGAUGCUGAUCAAUCAUAUGAGGACUUGUCUUCACGAUCAGUAAGGGGUAAGAUUGAAAGAAUCCUAUUUGAGUACGGUCGUGCCAAGGCUUAAUAUGCUCAGGGUGCGAUUGUAAUUUAAGGAUUGUACAUAC
rnacentral:snoRNA from 1 species